CUUGAGUCUUCGCCACUGUCACGGCGGUCAUUUGUAUUCAUACCCACGCGGUGUCGCCGUCUUCCCAGAAGCAACCACUCCAUCCUAUCCCUUUCUAGUUUCUAUAUAAACCCUUUCAUUCCCUCCAAACUACUCCAUCUAUCCCUUCCCAUCUCUUUCUUACGCAUACACACAUCUUUCGUUUGUUUUUACGAUCAUAACCUUUUGCUCAAAGAUGAAUACUACAAGUGAGCCUGCAGCUGCACAAGGUCCUUAUGCUGCACAAGGUCCUUAUGUGGUACCACCACCGGCUGGUUAUCCUACAAAAGAUGACUCUCAGAAUCCUCCUCACGGCCCAGUGGAAACCAAGUCAAGGGGUGAAGGGUUCUGGAAGGGAUGUUGUGCUGCCUUGUGUUGCUGUUGUGUACUUGAUGCAUGCUUCUGAUCAUCAGAAUCGAGAGCUAGCAAUAUUAAAAAUUCUAGAAACCAUUGUUGUUUUAUUUGUUUUUUUUUUUUUUUUAAUCAAUACGGAACUUGGAUCAUUCUUGUGUGAAGAAUGGACCAUGCGAUUGGAUAAUUGUCAUGUUCUUGCCUUGACAGAGUUAUCCUUGCACUGUAAUUAUCACGAGUGAUGAUUUCCUUUUAGUGUUGUAUUCUUUUCGAUAUAUUGGUGAUACUGUUAUUGUUAUUUUGAUAAUAAUGCAAUAGAUAUAUUGCAAAAUGAUUCCAUUUU